GGUGGAUUGGCACAGUGAUUAGAGCGUAGGUCUCGUAACCGAAAGGUCGCGGGAUCGAAUUCCGCUAGAGGCUG
rnacentral:tRNA from 1 species